CUGGCGGCGUGCUUAACACAUGCAAGUCGAACGGAAAGGCCCUUGCUUGCAAGGGUGCUCGAGUGGCGAACGGGUGAGUAACACGUAGGUGAUCUGCCUUUCACUUCGGGAUAAGCUUGGGAAACUGGGUCUAAUACCGGAUAUUCACGGCACCGUGGUUGGUGUGGUGGAAAGCUUUUGCGGUGGGAGAUGAGCUUGCGGCCUAUCAGCUUGUUGGUGGGGUAAUGGCCUACCAAGGCGGCGACGGGUAGCCGGCCUGAGAGGGUGUGCGGCCACAUUGGGACUGAGAUACGGCCCAGACUCCUACGGGAGGCAGCAGUGGGGAAUUUUGCACAAUGGGCGGAAGCCUGAUGCAGCGACGCCGUGUGGGGGAUGAAGGCCUUCGGGUUGUAAACUCCUUUCGUCAGGGACGAAGUUUGUUUGACGGUACCUGGAUAAGAAGCACCGGCUAACUACGUGCCAGCAGCCGCGGUAAUACGUAGGGUGCGAGCGUUGUCCGGAUUUACUGGGCGUAAAGGGCUCGUAGGUGGUGUGUUGCGUCGUCUGUGUAAUCCAGGGGCUUAACUUUUGGUUGGCAGGCGAUACGGGCAUUGCUUGAGUGCUGUAGGGGAGACUGGAAUUCCUGGUGUAGCGGUGAAAUGCGCAGAUAUCAGGAGGAACACCGAUGGCGAAGGCAGGUCUCUGGGCAGUUACUGACGCUGAGGAGCGAGAGCAUGGGUAGCGAACAGGAUUAGAUACCCUGGUA
rnacentral:rRNA from 1 species